rnacentral:rRNA from 1 species
AGAGUUUGAUCAUGGCUCAGAGCGAACGCUGGCGGCAGGCUUAACACAUGCAAGUCGAGCGGGCGUAGCAAUACGUCAGCGGCAGACGGGUGAGUAACGCGUGGGAACAUACCUUUUGGUUCGGAACAACACAGGGAAACUUGUGCUAAUACCGGAUAAGCCCUUACGGGGAAAGAUUUAUCGCCGAAAGAUUGGCCCGCGUCUGAUUAGCUAGUUGGUGAGGUAAUGGCUCACCAAGGCGACGAUCAGUAGCUGGUCUGAGAGGAUGAUCAGCCACAUUGGGACUGAGACACGGCCCAAACUCCUACGGGAGGCAGCAGUGGGGAAUAUUGGACAAUGGGCGCAAGCCUGAUCCAGCCAUGCCGCGUGAGUGAUGAAGGCCCUAGGGUUGUAAAGCUCUUUUGUGCGGGAAGAUAAUGACGGUCCCGCAAGAAUAAGCCCGGCUAACUCCUGCCAGCAGCCGCGGUA